rnacentral:rRNA from 1 species
CAAACUUUUGGAUGGCGACCGGCGCACGGGUGAGUAACACGUAUCCAACCUGCCUCAUACUCGGGGAUAGCCUUUCGAAAGAAAGAUUAAUACCCGAUGUUAUAGUCCUACCGCAUGAUGGGAUUAUUAAAGAAUUUCGGUAUGGGAUGGGGAUGCGUUCCAUUAGUUAGUUGGCGGGGUAACGGCCCACCAAGACAACGAUGGAUAGGGGUUCUGAGAGGAAGGUCCCCCACAUUGGAACUGAGACACGGUCCAAACUCCUACGGAAGGCAGCAG